UACGUAGGGUGCGAGCGUUGUCCGGAAUUACUGGGCGUAAAGGGCGCGUAGGCGGCACUGUUAGUCAGGCGUGAAAUUCCUGGGCUCAACCUGGGGACUGCGCUUGAUACGGCAGAGCUUGAGGAUGGAAGAGGGUCGCGGAACUCCCAGUGUAGAGGUGAAAUUCGUAGAUAUUGGGAAGAACACCGGUGGCGAAGGCGGCGACCUGGUCCAUUACUGACGCUGAGGCGCGACAGCGUGGGGAGCAAACAGG
rnacentral:rRNA from 1 species